GGCGGCCAGACGUAUUUCUGGAGCAACUCGGCGGUUCCUGCACCUGGAAAAGCUCAUAAAUCAGCCUUAAAAUGGAUGACGAUACGGACAUCUUCGAUAUUGACCCACGUGAAGUGUGGCUGGAAAAGGACGCCAUUGCAGGAUUCAGAGUGUGGCAUAUUAUAGCAGCCGUGCUCGGUAUUCUUAUGCUGAUAAUGAUAAUGGUCUGCUGCUGCAUUCGAUUCCGGAUUCCGCGAACCAAACAGGAAAUUGAGGCGGACUACCAGCGCAAACAGAUUACGAAGAAAUUCCGCGAGAAGCUCCAGCAGAUCAAGAACUCCGAAAUGGACGACAUGGACCUUCAGAAGGCACUUGCUUAUAUCAAAUUGGAACAGUACGAUGAUCCCUAAGAGCUCUGUAAAUUCACCCGCACACUGUACAAACUAUCGGAAGUACUUAAGCAGCAAACUAUCUAUCCCAAAACCACUGCCAAUUUUGUGCCCGCAUCCAGAGCGAUUAUCUGAAUUUUCAAGCCAGCAUAGAAAGCAUGAACGAGAAGCAGAAUGUUAAGUUUAAG